UGGGGAAUUUUUGGCAAUGGGGGAAACCCUGACCAAGCAACGCCGCGUGGAUGAUGAAGUAUCUUGGUACGUAAAAUCCUUUCGACGGGGACGAAACCGCAAGGUUGACGGUACCCGUAGAAGAAGCCCCGGCUAACUCCGUGCCAGCAGCCGCGGUAAUACGGGGGGGGCAAGCGUUGUUCGGAAUUACUGGGCGUAAAGGGCGCGUAGGCGGCUCGCUAAGUCGGAUGUGAAAACUCUGGGCUCAACCCAGAGCCUGCAUUCGAAACUGACGAGCUCGAGUUCUGGAGGGGAAAGCGGAAUUCCUGGUGUAGCGGUGAAAUGCGUAGAUAUCAGGAGGAACACCGGUGGCGAAGGCGGCUUUCUGGACAGAAACUGACGCUGAUGCGCGAAAGCUAGGGGAGCAAACAGGAUUAGAUACCCUGGUAGUCCUAGCCCUAAACGAUGGAUACUUGCUGUGAGGGGGAUUGAAUCCCUUCGUGGCGAAGCUAACGCAUUAAGUAUCCCGCCUGNGGAGUACGGUCGCAAGGCUG
rnacentral:rRNA from 1 species